GGGGACCUCAGCAACGCCCUCAAGUGCUAUUCCCGGGCCCGGGACUACUGCACCAGCGCCAAACACGUCAUCAACAUGUGCCUCAAUGUCAUCAAGGUCAGCGUCUACUUGCAGAAUUGGUCUCAUGUGCUCAGCUACGUCAGCAAGGCUGAGUCCACCCCAGAGAUUGCCGAGCAGCGAGGAGAGCGUGACAGCCAGACCCAG
rnacentral:misc_RNA from 1 species